GGGGAGAAGAAGGGAAAGGAGUUUGGAUGGACGAACAGCAUAAGCAACAUUCUGGAAUUUUCUUUAAUGCUCUCAUGAAUGCAUUCUUGGAAUUUUCUAAUAUGUAAACAUUAUUUUGUGGCCAACUGACUUCAAUUAUAUGUAGAACCAUCCAAAAGUCUCCUCUCAGGCAUUAAGGAACAUGAACGCUUUUAAGGGAUUUCCAAACUGGAAAUAACCAACACAACUAGGUAAGAAUUGAAGCUUAAGAAAGGUGAGAGGAUAGUAAAAUAACAUAUUUACAUAAAUUCAGGUUCAUAAAGCCAUAUUAAUUACAUAUCAGCACAAUAAGACGACUGGCAGUGGGAAAUGAGCUGGCACCCUUUGGAAACCUAUUGGGAAGGUGAGGUGCUUUAAGACUGGACAUUGGAGAUUAGACAUGCCUGAAUUUAAUCCUUGAAAGAGCUGUGCAAAACAGCCACUUUGUGGCCACCAUCUGACAUGUCACACAGUGUGGGAUAGGGAAUAGACUUUCAUGAGUAACAAAUUUACAGCGUAAGAUGAGGAAAAAAAAUGAGUGUGUUUGUGUGGUCUAAUCCUUUUAAUAUCCCCCGGAUGAAUGACCAGGCCCAGGACACUCUGUUGGACACAUGGUGGGUGAACAUUUUGGGUGGUAAGAAUUCCUCCUCUUGACAUUCUCCUUUACCACAGAGCAAGCCUGAGAGCAAUUUUAUCAAUGGGAGAAGACGGGCAGAACAGACUGACUAACAGGUUAUCUGGGCACCAUCUUUACUGAGUUUGGAUGUCAACUGUCAAGCAUCCAUCAUGCACCAUGUACACCACAGUGCACCACAGCUGAGACCAGUGUGGAUCCCACCAUCAGCAGCUUUUCCAAAGGACCCAGGCAAAAUGUGUGGUGUUUCUGAGGGCAUCCUCUUCCACAUUUUUAGCGUAAUCUACCUCGACACACAGAUGCAAUGCUCACAGAGGCCAGAACGCUUCCCAGAAGCAGCCAAG
rnacentral:lncRNA from 1 species